AUUUUUGUAAAUGUUAAUUUGUAUAUAUUGAUUAGAUAUAUUGGAAUAAAAUGAUGGUCAUACUAUUGCUAUUAUUAGUUACAAAUUGAAUGGUAUUUAAUUUGUCUAGUCUGAUUACUGUUAAACUGACCAGUGUACCUGUUUGUCUAUGUUACCUUGAUUUCUAUAUUUAGAAUCUUAAUUAAGGCUAUAUUUUUUAUGGAUAGUGAUUUUGGUCACAUGUUCUUUUUGGAGGGAAAAUUCUAUUGUUCUGGUCACUCUUAUUUCAACUGUCAUACUGAGCAGAUAUAUUUCAGUUUUUGAGUUUGCAAAUUGUCUUAUAUGAAAUAUGUUAUAGUUAUUGCUGAAUCUUUUGGGAAUCCACUUACAUUAUUACUACUUUACAGGUUAAUAUUUGAUGUACAUGUAGCCAAUACACAUAUGAAGUCUUGUGACCUUCAAACUAGCACUUGAGAUGAUGUUUUUGGGACAGAGGGGAACUAAUAAUAAUGGAGGGGACAGCUGUAGAUGAAACUUUUGAGGUAGAAGAACACAUGUUGUAAUGAGAAAACAGUUCUGCUGAGAGUUUUGUGAUGUAGAGGUUUGAGCUUCUCUAAAUUUGACUAAAAGAUAUUGAUAAUGAGUUUGGUUAAAUUAGACAUUUUAAAAAGAAUAAUGUUUUAAGGGCUGAUGAUCCAUUUCCUUUAUUAUCUAAAUAUACAUGUUCACAGAAAUGAAGUCUGCAGAUGACUUAUUACAGUUGGAACAACAUCCAGAAUCCUGUGAAGAGUGGACUCUCUUAGAGUUACUUUACUGCUAAAAAGUCCCUAAUUAAAACAGAAUUGAGAAUGGAAAUAGGGAAUGUGCCAAAGAGACAACAACCCGACCAUAGAGCAGACAACAGCAUAAGUUCACCAACAGGUCUUCAAUUAUGCAACAAGAAAUUCCCGAACCGGAGGCAUCCUUCAGCUGGCCUCGAAACAAAUAUAUACUAGUUUAGUGAUAAUGAAUGCCAUACUAAACUCCAAAUUGUACACAAGAAACUAAAAGUUAAAAAGAUAGAAGACUAACAAAGGUCAGAGGCUCCUGACUUGGGACAGGCGCAAAAAUGCGGCAGGGUUAAACAUGUUUGUGGAGAUCCCCCCCCCCCCUAUACCUCUAUCCAAUGCAGAAAAGUAAACGCAUAACAAUAAGCACAUUAAAAUUCAGUUCAAGAGAAGUCCGAGUCUGAUGUCAGAAGAUGUAACCAAAGAAAAUAAACAAAAUGACAAUAAUACAUAAAUAACAUCAGACUGCUAGUAGUUAAGUGACAUGCAUAAUUAUUCAUUUAAGUUUCUUUUUAAGUAUAGCCACCAAAAUUUAGGUGAAAUUGUGCUGAAAUAUGGAAAUAUAUUAGAAUUUCCCCAAAAAACUCUAGCCUUUAUAUUACACAUCAUUUGUUGGCGCGGCUGUUUACUACAUGUAUUUAAGAAAAAAAUAAAUUUAAAAAGAAAAAUGAGGUGAACAGAAGAAAAAAAUAUGAUACUGCUGAAAACUUGUGUGGUAUAGAGAUUUGAGUUUCUCUAAAUUUGAGUUAAAAUGCAUUGAUUAUAAGAAUUGUCAAAUAAGACCUUUAUAAUAUGUUUUAUAAGGCUAAAGAUCUACUUCUUUUAUUUUUUAAUACACAUGCUUCCAGAAAUGAAGUCUGCAGAUGACUUAUUGCUGAACCACAUCCUAAAUUUUAGAUCAUGAAUCAUGGGAAGAAUUGACUUUUAACUUUAUCUUUUAAAACCCUUAUUGUUCAGUAGAUUCUUUUUAAACAGCCAUUGAAAUUAAGGUGAAAAUUUUGAAAAAAUAUAAAAUUUAGAAUUUCCCAAGAAUAUCUAGCCUUUAUAUUGCACAUCUUUGUUGGUGCAGCAGUAUAUUUAAAAGAAAAGCAAGAGAAAAACAUAAUGGGAAAAACAAUUAUACUGCUGAAAAUUUAAGUUUUUAUGAAAGAUGAUUUUUGAGUUUUGGUGUUUUAACGCCCCUUUUAAGCAACUAAUUUAAGCUAUU